ACUGGCUAGGCGACAUGAACAUUACCGAGCUUUGUGAAAGUAUGAAAACCACUGAAACAGCCUCUCACAAUUGUGGAUGCGCAGGUGAGCCUUUAUUUAGUAGACUUUUUCGAGAAGCUUCGAGGGCAUGAAGGGCAACGAAGUGGUUUAUUGCCUGUGUGGGUGUCAUUCAAAGUACUCUUUGGGGAGAAGCUUGGAGAUCAUGCAGGACAAUGAAAUCACCUCUUGCAUGUGUGGAUGCGCUCGUGAUUCUUCAGUGUGGACUUGCGUGAGAAGCUCCGAGGGCAUGAAGGGCACUGAUAUGGCCUCUCGCCUGUGUGGAUGAACACAUGACUCUUCAAUGUAGACCUGUCUGAGAAACUCUGAGGGCACAAAGCACACUGAAAUGGCCUCGCGCCUGUGUGGGUGCGCAGGUGUUCGUUCAGACGACUCUUUCGUGAGCAGCUAUGAGGGCAUGCAGGGCACUGAAAUGGCCUCUCGCCUGUGUGGGUGCGCAGGUGUUUGUUCAGAUGACUCUUUCGUGAGCAGCUCUGAGGGCAUAAAGGGCAUUGAAAUGGCCUCUCGCCUGUGUGGGUGUCCAGGUGUCGGUUCAGAGAACGCUUUCGUGAGAAGCUCUCAGGGCAGGC
rnacentral:lncRNA from 1 species